rnacentral:misc_RNA from 1 species
GAUGAAGAACGUAGCGAAAUGCGAUAAGUAAUGUGAAUUGCAGAAUUCAGUGAAUCAUCGAAUCUUUGAACGCACAUUGCGCCCGCCAGUAUUCUGGCGGGCAUGCCUGUUCGAGCGUCAUUUCAACCAUCAAGCCCCCGGCUUGUGUUGGGGACCUGCGGCUGCCGCAGGCCCUGAAAUGCAGUGGCGGGCUCGCUGUCACUCCGAGCGUAGUAGUUACAUCUCGCUCUGGGCGUGCUGCGGGUUCCGGCCGUUAAAAGCCUUAUUUACCCAAGGUUGACCUCGGAUCAGGUAGGAAGACCCGCUGAACUUAAGCAUAUCAAUAAGCGGA